ensembl:lncRNA
CCUAUGGAUUCCAUCUGGACCUGGACUUUCUCAAGUAUGUUGAUGACAUUGAGAAAGGCAACACUAUUAGGAGGGUGCCAAUGCAGAGAAGGCAAAGAGGACGAAAUAAUGGCGUCCUGUCACGUAACUUAAGCCUUCCAGGUUAUGGAUGCAGAGCUACAGAGUGGAACUCAGUAAGCACUUUAUGGCCCAAAACAAAACUGGGAGACUCUCAACAACAUUUUGAGUUUCGAUCUAGUGACAGUGUGUCUGCUGGCUAUGCCAGGAGGGGAGAACACAUCUAUAAGUCCUUCACAUCUGCAGAGAUGGAGGCUUUUGAUGAGCAGCCCUUAGGACGUUACGUCAGGCCAAAUCUCUUGAGAGCCUCCAGUUUACCCUUGACCGUUUUAUUGAGAAAACACUCUGAGUCAACUGAGGAUCCAACCAGUCCCAGCAGCCCCAAGGAAUAUCUAAUGCAGGAAAAUGGCUCUUCUGAAGAUGUAUUCCAUGCCUCUGACAGCAGGAUAGGUAGAGCAAACGGGACCCUCCAGCGGCUCACUGGAGCUCUUGAACGAGUUGGGGAAUUGGAGGAGGAGAUCAGAGUCGUUCCUGAGCUCAAGGCGCAGAUAUGUAUUUUGCAGGAGGAGCGAGAGAGACUUUUACUCCAAUUACAUUCCCAAAACAAAACCACCGGGCCACUGGAUGCACCUACUGCUCCUCUACACAUUAAGAACUGGGACACUCCUUCAUCUAUCAAAGAAAAUCAAGACAAAGCAAGCGAUGACUGGAUGAACCAAGAAUAUGACCGGCUAGAGGAAAAUGUCAAGGCUUCCUCUGAACAAGUUGAUGCAGUUGCAAUGACUUCAACUACUGAAAGAUAUCUUCCAGAGAUUGAAAGGCGUAAAACGGUCUCACGAGAAAGCGAUCUCUUGGAAAACGGAGACAAAACUAAGUCUCUCACUGAAACUCUCCAGAGAAAAGUUGUUUUGCUGGAACAGAAACUUCAUGAAUUGGAGGUGGAGCUGGACAAGACAAGAGCUUUACUGAAGCAGCAAGUAAAGGAGAGUCUUCUUAAGGAUGAGAAGAUCAAGCAGUUGACCAUACAGCUUGAAAUGGGGCACACACUGGCCAAGGUGAUUUCAUCUGAGAGCUCCUUAGUAAGUACACAAAGUCUUGAAACUGUGGUAGAACUGCAGGAAACAUUAAAAAGUGGACAAGAGAUGCCAACAGAGGAGGCAACUGUCUCUCAAGUUCUGGAUCAACCUCCAGUAUCACAUGCAGACGUGGAGCACCAUGUGAAAAGAUUACAAGAGCUCCUUCAGGAGCAAUGGGAAUGCCUUUGCGAAUACGACUCAUCAGGGAAAAUGUCUUCAGACCACUUGCCUCCACGUAUCUGCACUAUUCAAGAGAAGUUAACAACUUUAGUCACCCUUCUUACCCUCUAUGUGGUUCCUACUGAUGAUGCUUCACAACCAGGAGAGAACCCCAAGACAGAACAUUGGAAGACAAUCAGCAUAAGAGACAGGUAAAUCUAUCACCACUAUGGGCAUUUUUUUUCUUUUUUUUGUAAAACAGUACUAAUGGUCU